rnacentral:rRNA from 1 species
UUUGUUACUUCAAACCAAUCGGACUUCGGUCUGACAUCAAGUGAUAUUGAACAAUUUAGCUGAUCGCACGGUCUAAGAACCGGCGACAUAUCCUUCAAAUGUCUGCCUUAUCAACUUUCGAUGGUAGAUUAUGCGCCUACCAUGGUUGUAACGGGUAACGGARAAUCAGGGUUUGAUUCCGGAGAGGGAGCCUGAGAAACGGCUACCACAUCCAAGGAAGGCAGCAGGCACGCAAAUUACCCACUCCCGGCACGGGGAGGUAGUGACSAAAAAWAACAAGCUGGUCUCAAUGAGUUCCAGCAUUGUAAUGGGAACAAUUUAAAUCUUUUAUCGAGGAUCUAUUGGAGGGCAAGUCUGGUGCCAGCAGCCGCGGUAAUUCCAGCUCCAAUAGCGUAUAUUAAAGUUGUUGCGGUUAAAAAGCUCGUARUUGGAUCUAGGAUUAGGGCUACGGUCGUUCARCUUGGACGUACUGUAUGCCCGACUCCUUUUCUCUAGUAUUCGAUUGUUGCUCUUAAAUGAGUGACUUUAGUUGCUGGRACUUUUACCUUGAAAAAAUUGAAGUGCUCAAAGCAGGUU